GUGAUUGAUUGUGAGGGAAGAUAGUAUUAAAGCUCUUCUAUGAUACUGACUUUCAGUGUUUCAUGAAACAGAAUUUCAACAGAAACGGUACUUGAAAUCGUGGCUGCAAAAUAAUGUUCUCAGCUGUAGUUUUUGCUUUCUAUCUUCUGGACUGCAGCCUAGGUCGUCUUUUAUUAGGAGUAGUGAUUUUAGAAGAGCUCACAAAUUCUUGAAAGGUUCAAGAAUGAAACCAGUGAAUUCUUUCCUGUUUUUGCCUUUUAAGUCACACUACCAUUUUAAAAUGUCUGGUCCAAUUUUUCUUUUUUUGAGUGAUAUUCUGGCUAUUUGUAUACAUGCUUAUACUGCUAACGUGUGAAUUAAAUACCUUACAGGUUUCCUUCCAAGUGUUUUAUUUGGGCAAAGGAAGAUUAGUUUCAUGAUUAAAAAAAAGUAUAAUGUCAAGAGUAGGUAAAAAUAAAACAUUUAAUUCGUUUACUGGGUUAUACAUGUUUGAAAAUCCUGCAGACAGGUUCUUGUAAGCAAAUUUAAGCAACGAAUGUACAUUAAAAACUGUUAUUUGUGAAAUACCAAGUAUUUUCUGAUUUUUGUCCCUGUUAGAAAUACUUAUAAUGUUAUUCAGUUUAUCUUAGCUGUAGCAAUAUGUUAUUGACAAGCUGAAUUAGCGUAGAGCUAUUUGCACAUUACAAAUAUUCCUGAUUCAAAAUCCUAAAUCCAUCUAGUGACCUCCCAUAAUAGGAAUAUUUUAGCUGUGAGUCAUUUCUGCCACUUAGCUUAGUCUGUGUGGGGAAUCAAAGCAAUUUUCAGUGUGUAUAUAUAAAAUCUCCGUCAAGAAUUAUGUGGAAUUUAGCUUCUUGAUACAGUUUCUUAUGUUAGAAUUGUGUGCUCGAUUUGCCAAUCAAUGUGUGCAGCUAAAAGACUUGCUUCUAUCUUUUAAUGUUAACCUAAUGAUAGCAUCCCAAUUGUAGUUUAUUAUCCAUUUAGAAUAUGUAGGGAAUAUGGAGUCUGUAUCCAACACACGAAAUGGCUUUUUAAUUCAUUUUUUUAUGUAUUUAUUCUGUUUUGGAUUAAGUGGCACUGGAGGAAUUGGCUCUAAGGUAGGUUAGUUGUUUGAAAUACUGCUUUUAUUCACAUAGCAUGGGGUUUAUUUUUUGGUGUCCUUCGUUGGGUAGAACACAUGCGAUCGAAAAACCGUGGUUUGUUCAUGUUGUCAUGGCCAUGCCAAAUGUAAAGUUUAUACAGAAUUUACUAUUUUUACAAGCCAGUGAUAGCACAACAAGCUUUCUGUUGUCAGAAAGGAAUUCCUGUUCCCCAUAGCUUUGAAGAUGCUAAAAUGAAUCUUGGGGAUAUUCUCCAAUAGGAGGAAUUUGAAAUAACCAGCACAGAACAAUAUCACUUGGAUAGCUCUUGGUCGCAAUGGUAGGGUGGGUUUGUGUCUUACGUGUGUAUGUGAAUCCACUCCAAAUCUGCAUGGACUUGAAAAGUAAAUAAUAGAUUUUUUAUUUUUUUUCUGAUAACUGUUGCUGCUUCCUAGCUCAAUAUCACAGCCUUUUCCUAUGUCUGCCACAUCCUGAUAAGGCCAUAGUACAUGAGGUUCUGUGGGAAGAGAGAUGCUAGUUUUAACACCAUAUGAAAACCAAAUCUUGGCCUUUUAGGUAAGAGCAUGAUACAGCAUAAAGACAAUAUGUCCUUGAUCAUCUUGCUGCUGGGUAUUCUUGUUUCCCAAAAGAUUGCAUUGCUUUUCAGCACCCUUGGUUUGGUGAACUUAAAAAUGGAGGAAUGUGAAAUACCAUGGACUAAAAUCUGUUGUGAGUUUCGUACUUUGCCUAAAUUUCAGCUUUGUAAUCCAAUGUGAUAUCUGUAUUUAAAGUCAAAUUAUUUUUUCUCUAAUUACAAUUCAGCAAAAUUAUUGGUGAAAUGGGUCUGAUAGCAGAACAUAUUACUAAAUGCUCAUCAAUUUGAGGCAAAUGUUGUACCAAGGUAUAUUUCAUUUUGCAUCUAAAAUACCAUUUAAAGGAGUUUGGUGAAAGGAGAAGGGAUAGCAUACUUAUUUUGAGCAGAAACUUCUGAACUUUGAAACAAAACAAAAAAAGGCUAAACAAAAUAGUUGAUUCAAAUUAAAAAAAAAAAAAAAAGUAUUUCAGUCAAGUUUGAAAAACUGCUAAAUAUCAGUUGAUGAAUCAUUGGUUCUCUGCAGACUGAUCCCGAAGGGACAGUUACCUGUGGAAGAGAAGGAGUACAAGAGAGCCUGACUGUUACGUUACCACCAGUCAAUUCCCAAAUCUAACAUGGAGUGUAGAGCUGUGCAAAGAAGGAAUUGACAGUUGGAGGAGAGUGGCCAGGCCUGGAUCUUACUCCAUAGAAAACUGUUCUUCUAUAGAUAACCAAUACUGAUCUUUUUUGUGGCCUCAAUCCGCUGAAUUUAGGAACAAAUUUUCAGAUACCACAAUCCUGUCCUAUAAUACCAAUCUUCAGCUCGGUGUUUGGAAUGGGUUUUGUAUUUAUAUUAAGGUUUAUAGGACUAAUUUUAAAUGCAAGUAGUACUUUUUGUUGAUCUGUACUUUAAGAUUUUUUUUUUUUAUAUAAGCAUUUGGAGUGCAUGGUUAGACGUUACUUAUCCCAUCUAAGAACCUUCCAGUUUUAUUUUUCCCUCAUUAGAUUUUUGUCUUUAUGUGAUUUACCUGGUUAUAAAGAGCACGUGCUCUCAUGUCUCUUAGAAUUGGAAAUUGUAACUGUGGGAGAAUUGCCCUAACUUCUUCCUAAAUUCGUUAUUUAAUUCUCAGCAUUUUGGCGCAAAUGUUUGCAGUCUGGUACUAAUGGGGCAGCUUGUGCUGCAGCUUGUGAUUAUUUUAUUCUGGGUGCAGGACUUCUUUUUUAAAUUUCAUGAAGUUCUUGUCCAUGUUUCCCUGAACAGCAACUCUUUGUCCACUGUAAUUCUUCUCCACAUUCAGUGUCAUCUGCAAACUAAGAUUGAUUCAGUCAUGGUAGCCAGAUGAUUUAUAAGACUACUGAAUAGUAGUGGCCCAAGUGUCAACUUCUCAGGAGCUCCAUUCAUGGCUACUAGAACACCUCUGAGCCACUAAACACCUCACAAAAAUCGAAGAAGCCCUUUGAGAACAUAAAGUUUUUAAGAAUACAAUACACAUUGUUUAUGUAAAAACAUUAGGAAAAGAUUUAUUGUGUUUUCUCAGUGUCUUGUAAUGUAGCCUUACAGCUGGAAGCAUUGAAAAGAACAGGGACCACGUGACAGGACAUUCAUCCUUAUGCUGGCAAGUAGGAGCUACCCACAAGUGAAUAUCAACUCAAUGCAGUGACAUUCAAUAGCAAACAUUGAAACAUUUGAAAAGGUAACCUAAGCAGAAUGUCCAUUAAGAUUGAUCAGACGUCUUAUCUCAAAAGCAGCACAUUUAGGUUAAGAAACAUGGAGAACAUGCUAUGCUGACACUCAUUGUCUCUGGAGAAAAAGAAACUUGUGGGUGAUUACACCUCUCACUACAGCCUUUUAUAUAAUAAACAGUAAGUUUAUAUGCUGGUACAUGAGUAAUAAGUUUGUUUCCUGCCUUGUCCAGUGAAGAUACCUCAUACAACAUCGUAUCUGUCAAAAUAAUGCAUUAUAAUCCAGUUGUAAAAGGUUUCCCUCCAGCCUGAAUAGAUUUGAAGAGAUGAAAUAGAGUACACAUUUAUUUUGCUUUCAAGUAACAAAUGACUGUGGCUUUAUGUUAUUCUGUGUGCUGUGAGCACAUCUGUAUGUCAGGCUGUUACUUUGGCUUCUAGCCAUUAUACUAGCAAAACUACCCUGAAGGCUUUCUUUGGUACUGCCUCCAACUCCACAGGACAGGCAACAGCUGUCUGUCUCUCCAUGUCUGUUCUUGUAGAUCAGUCAGCUGGUCUUUCACUCCUCUCCUGCUUUAUAUGAGGUUAUUCUAUACAGACAGCAAUGGUUGUUUAUUAUUGUGUUGUUGACCUCCUAGAAUGAUAGCAGUAGCAGGAAGAUAAACCUUAGCAUUGAAGACCUGAUUGAAAAGUCAUUUGUAGUUAUGCUUUCACUACAGCCUUUUGUUUCACUUACUAAGGUUAACGUAUCUGUUUCCCGUGGAACUAGCAAACAUUGUCCUGAUCAACUUAGUGUUUGCUGAAGGCUUGUAGUUACGCAGUUACAUAUUAGAUGUAUUCCUUCACACUGAAAUGUGAAGGCUUUUAAAUACAUUUCUGAUUCAUUGAAGGGAGAGAAUGGUGAUUUUAGAAUUCAAACCUGUGCUUUUGACCUGGAAAUGCAAGUCUUAGCCUGCCUGGCAAAAACAGAUCUCCCCAAGCAGCCGUUCCCUUUCAGUGACGCAACAUCUUUAUUUGAAAUCAGGUUUCUUUGCCUUAAAUUUGAUCUAAAGCCAUAAGUUGCCACUUGAAAGAACAAAAAAGGAUGUCAGUGUCAACAGUCAUAUUUGAUGAAGAGAGACUUUUCUGAAAGUGACAUUCUUUUGUGUUGAAAGGCAGUGUUUGUUCCCCAACCACUACAACCUCAGCUGAGCCUAAUUAGACAAUGAAGUUCAGAUCAUUUAAUAACUUACUCAAAGUCCUAAUUUUGUGUUAUUUUGGCCUGAAACAAGGUUGAUAAGUUUUAAAACAAAAACAAACAAAAGCUUUCCUGUUAUUUGACAGAAUCAUUGAUCUUAAUUGAAAUUUACAGAUGUGUUCAUUUGCUGUAGUAACCAUAUGCUGAUUUCAGUCAGUGAAUCUGUAAGUGAUUUUCCAAUUCAUUUUCAUGGACCGUUUCAGGAGUGGCACAAUGUUAAAUUAGAAGGGGUUAUUUUUUUGUGGUAUGCAAUUAUUAGCCUGCAAAUUUACCAUUGGAAUCUAUUGUUUAAGGACUGUUUAAAGUAAGCUUAGCUGGUGUUAAUUAGAUUCCUUGAAACUUUUAAAAUUAAGCCAACAAAACCUCAUGGAUAUAUGUAAGACGUGACAACCUCCCCUGUACUUCGGCAGAGGCCAGGAGUUGAUCCAAACCAUAGGAUUGUUUCUGUUCUGAGUCACUAAAAUGGAAAAAAAA